rnacentral:rRNA from 1 species
GACGGAGGAUGCAAGCGUUAUCCGGAAUGAUUGGGCGUAAAGCGUCCGCAGGUGGCAGUUCAAGUCUGCUGUCAAAGACCGGGGCUUAACUUCGGAAAGGCAGUGGAAACUGAACAGCUAGAGUAUGGUAGGGGCAGAGGGAAUUCCUGGUGUAGCGGUGAAAUGCGUAGAUAUCAGGAAGAACAUCGGUGGCGAAAGCGCUCUGCUGGACCAUAACUGACACUCAGGGACGAAAGCUAGGGGAGCGAAUGGG